AGUAAUGUCUGGGAAACUGCCUGAUGGAGGGGGGUAACUACUGGAAACGGUGGCUAAUACCGCAUAAUGUCUACGGACCAAAGCAGGGGCUCUUCGGACCUUGCACUAUCGGAUGAACCCAUAUGGGAUUAGCUAGUAGGUGGGGUAAAGGCUCACCUAGGCGACGAUCUCUAGCUGGUCUGAGAGGAUGAUCAGCCACACUGGGACUGAGACACGGCCCAG
rnacentral:rRNA from 1 species